UGGCCGUCCGAUUAAAACACCAUUAAAGCACCAAGAGAAUAGAAGCUUCGAAUAUCUCCAUUUUUCUUCCAAAAACACUGUAAUGGAAACUUUCAAUCGUGAAGCGAGAGAGAAGACAAGGACAUUAGCGAGUGGAUUACUGUGGAUUAAUUUAUUUUUUCAUAUAUCAUUGCUUGAGAUGAACUCAAGAAAAUCUCCGAAACUGAACUCUUUGUAGGAUGCUGGAUGUUGUUCGUCUACAAGCUCUUUUGCCGGCGCCAUUUUAUUGUUUAAAGGUAAACUGUGAAGACUUGCUAUCGAAAUCCGCUUUUUCUCAGAGCUAACAAUUGCUCGGUGAACCACACUCUUAUAUUGGCCAUUGCUUAAUACUUCUAGCUGAUCUCCCAACUGAACUACCAGUGCUCCUUCAGUCACUUGAACUGAGCACCAGUUCUUGUCCCGGUCCAUGAGCUCUAAACCAGUGCAGCUCUGGUGUAAGAUUGUCAGUGAUCCAUAGUCUGAAUGUGGUGGCAUCCCUAAUGCGAGUUGUGGUUCAGGACAUGCUGGAUAGAAAUUUACGGCCAUAACUUGUGAUCCUUCUUCACUCUCAUUGUGCAAGUACUUAGGUGUCAGGCCUAAGCUCUCUAGAACAACUUCCAUUAGUUGUUUUUGUAAAUUUUGCACAGCUGUUGCAUAGUUCCCCAUUUUCUCCCUGUAUGACCAAACAAAUAAAUAAGAUAUUUUAGGCAAUGUCAAAAAAUGGCAGCAGCAGGUUCGAUCUCAUUGCAUUGUAUUAUCAUUUUUGUUCUUUUCUGCUUGGUUUCUUUUUAAAAAGGUGAAGGCAUGACGCAUAAACUCGUUUUGAGCUGAUGUUAACCACUGCCUAUUGUAAAUGGCCAUAAAUGGAUCCAGUCUGAGAGGGGAUGGGAGUAAUGCUUGAUAAAGUCUCUCCAAAAGUGAACCUCGUCUUUUGCAUGAUUUAAACUGGUGCCAUAUCUUACCGGUGCAUGCACGUUGGUAGACAGUAGAAGCAUUUUCUCCUCGAGAGGCAAGUUAAAGAAGUCUGUUGCCGCCUGCAGAGCAUCUUCCAUUACAGAAAGAGGGAUCCCAUGAUUUAUAACCUGAAAACAUGAGACAGGGACCCAUCAUCCAGAGAUAGGGGAACCUGAAUUAUUAGAGGAAAUAGUGAAUAUAUGCAAUUGGGAGUGACGGGCACGCUCCAUGCAGGAGCUUGAGGUUAGUACUUUAUAUUUCAUGUCAUGUACGAGGCAUACAACCAAUUCCACAAGAGAACAAAACUUAAGCUCCCCAUGUUAUAAGAUAUAAUAUUGCUGUUAAACAUUAAAUCUGUGUACCUAUUUGAUUUGUUGAAUCCGGACCAAAAAAAGUUUAAAAUUUUUCAUCUCUCUAUGCAAAUGUUAGAAAUCUAUAUAGGAAGGUAAAAUACCAUAUGUGAUCUAACUAAAUACUUUUUUCUACUUGUUUCUAUAUGGUUGUUAGUUUCUCUGUUUUGUUGCAUUGCCGUCGGUGAAAUCUUCUACCGUUUUGGUUUUUUCAUUGGCUGUCUGUAUUUUGGUCAUAUUUGAGAUCUAAGUUAAACUAAGUAGCUAUUUUAAAUAAAAUUCAAGUUGAUCGGAAGGAAACAUUUUUGCUUUGUUAGCUUUAUUAGUUGAAGUGUGCUUAAAGUCGGAAAAUCCAAAUUCAUCAAUAUAUUGUUUGGUUCAAUCUUGUUUUAGAAUUUAUUUUAAUUUUAGGUGAAUUAUAUGGUAACAAAACAUUCUAAAUGAAAUGAAAUAACCGAAUAUUAUGUUUGGAGUAAAUUAAUUUAAUUAAAUAUUUUGUUUUCUCGAACAUGUCUAUAUAUUUUAUAUUCUUUAUUAUUUUCUUUGGAAUAAACGCACAUAUUUUUUGGGAAUUAUAUAGUAAAAUAUCAUUUUAAAUGACUACCACCGACUCUUAUAUAAGUUAAUCGGUGUAGUUACUAUAGUUCUAUAAGAAUCGCCACGUAUUUAUGUCAUUUUCCUUGUAUAUUAUUUCCUUUUUUUUCUUUUAAGUUUGUAAGAGUCUGAAAAACAGUUAUAUGCUCUCUAAUAAAUUUAAUGUCCUGGUAGUAAUAGUAAAAUGUUUUUGUUUUAAUUUUUUCUCUUACGACAUAUAUGUAAGUGGGAUAUGUAUAUGAGGACCCAAACAUGAUAAUUUAAAUAAACUUUCAAGUAAGACAAACAACUCGUCAUAUGUUAGCUUUAUUGUUAUUGUGUGUCAAAAUACAAAAAGUAUUACGUAGGUUGGGGUUCAAUAUUCAAUAUGUAUUGUAUCUCUUGCAAUGAAAACCAGAUUAAGUUCAAAGCGUAUUGCAAGUCAAAACCAGCAGAAUUGAUUCUUUGGGUGACAUCUUGUGGAAUGGCCUUUUAUUUAAGAAGUCUUGUCACUAUGUGAUAAAUUCCGGCAAAUGGCCUGAGCUCCAAUUUCAUUCAUGAAAUUAACCGGCACACCGAGAUUACACUUACUUCUUCGGCAGGUAAUUUAUCUGGAUAUGACCAAACUUGUAGCUAGUGGCGGAUUAAAAAAAAGAACUGUUUUAAGAUAGAUAAAAACAUAAAUUUGAAAAAAAAAAAAGAAAAAAAUGCCAGCAAAUAUGUUUAAAAUUAAGGUAUAGCAUGUAAUUUUCUCUUGCUGAAAUGGCGGGUCUUUACUGGAUUUUUUUUUAUAAAAUUUUUCUUAAAGUGAGAUUGUUUAUAAAAAUAUGAUUUUAGUAGUUUUUUAGUAGCUAGCAAAUCUUAUAGUAUUUUUUUUUGAUAGAUUUUUAGUAGGUUUGAUAAUGAAUUUUUUGGAAAAAAAAUCUGUAAACAAAAUAUAAACGAAGCAUAUAGGAUGUAAAUUUCUCUUUUAUAUUCUGCUAGAAUGGCUACCUUUUGUUGUACACGAUUGAAGAAGAAUCCACAAUUCCCAAACUGGACUUAUUGUCUCAAAAAGUUCACUCACGGCCUCAUCUAAGACCAUUUGGCUGGGCCUUUCUUAUGUCAAAAGUUUUCAACACACUGUCUUACUGGUAAUUUGCACUGACAGACUCUGAAGUGAACUACUUUCUUUUCUAGAAUUGUUCAUAGACUUUAAUUUGUAGAUUAAUUAUUUUUAUAUUGUUAGGGACAACUGAGAUACGAAUUGAAUUUAAAAACCAUUGUGAUAUGAAUUAAAGUUUAGAAAUAAUUCAAAGAGAAAAUCGAUAGUUCAUGGUAAUUGGUGUCAAUUACUCCUCAUCUCACACGAACAACAAACUAUUGAUAUUUUCAUGUUGGUGCACUGCAUUUAGUCAAACAAACAAAAUUAGAGGAUGGCCAUUUUCUACAAUUUAUUUUGACUGGAAGAUUGGAUAUGUUUUGCAAUUUAUGAUUAAUAGUCUUAAAAGCUUAAAGGUGCAAGUUGCAAUAUAAAUAUAAAAAUUAGUUGCAAUUUAUUGGAGGCAAACUAUAGGUAGAUUUGGAGAGCAUUGAACUUGUCAUACUAUUUUGACAUGUCAAUGCAUCUAUAAGGACUGAGGAGUGAGCAAAGUUGAAUCUGCACUUGCCACGUUUCAUUAUUGUCUGGGGCAAAAAGGUAAAGGUUGUUGGGCAUUCUAUGACUAGUUUCAACAUAGAUUUGGAAGCAAUGCUAGAGCAGCUUAACCUCCUCAAUCCCGGGUGCAAAAUGAGUGUGCCAUAAAUAAAUGCUUGCUUCUCUGAUGCCUAUUUUUUGUCGUACUUUUUUAUUUUAUGAAAAAAAAAAUUGCAUCAAUUAUUGUGAGCAAUGCUUGUCACUUGAUAAUUUGUCAAAAAAAAUGAAAAAAUUGGAGUUACAUGGCGUGCUUGGAUUUGUCAAGAUAAGAGGUCAACCAUUGUUGUUUGUGAUUGAAUUUGGUCAUCUUAAAUGUCAUUUGGGAUGAAGGCCGAUACUCUUAUAUUCAUUGUUUGUAAUUUGGCAAAAGAAAACAAGAAAAUCGUAGUUACACCACAUGGCGUGCUUGGACAAGAUCGAUUUAAAAGGUUACCAAUGCCAUUUGUCAUUGAAUUUGGCCUCUCUUUUUUCUAUUGGAAGAUCAUUUUUGCCAUUUUGAACAAGAUAAAGAGGUAAUAAUGAAAAUAAACUUAACAUA